GAUGAACGCUGGCGGUAUGCUUAACACAUGCAAGUCGAACGGACUCUUCGGAGUUAGUGGCGGACGGGUGAGUAACGCGUGAGAAUCUGGCUUUGGGUUCGGGACAACCACUGGAAACGGUGGCUAAUACCGGAUGUGCCGAGAGGUAAAAGAGAAAUUGCCUGAAGAUGAGCUCGCGUCUGAUUAGCUAGUUGGUGAGGUAAAGGCUCACCAAGGCAGCGAUCAGUAGCUGGUCUGAGAGGAUGACCAGCCACACUGGGACUGAGACACGGCCCAGACUCCUACGGGAGGCAGCAGGGGGGAAUUUUCCGCAAUGGGCGAAAGCCUGACGGAGCAAUACCGCGUGAGGGAAGAAGGCUCUUGGGUUGUAAACCUCUUUUCUUAGGGAAGAACAAAAUGACGGUACCUAAGGAAUCAGCAUCGGCUAACUUCGUG
rnacentral:rRNA from 1 species